GGUCAAGUGAAGAAGCGCAUACGGUGGAUGCCUUGGCAGUCAGAGGCGAUGAAAGACGUGGUAGCCUGCGAAAAGCUUCGGGGAGUCGGCAAACAGACUUUGAUCCGGAGAUCUCUGAAUGGGGGAACCCACCUAGGAUAACCUAGGUAUCUUGUACUGAAUCCAUAGGUGCAAGAGGCGAACCAGGGGAACUGAAACAUCUAAGUACCCUGAGGAAAAGAAAUCAACCGAGAUUCCCUUAGUAGUGGCGAGCGAACGGGGAUUAGCCCUUAAGCUUCAUUGAUUUUAGCGGAACGCUCUGGAAAGUGCGGCCAUAGUGGGUGAUAGCCCCGUACGCGAAAGGAUCUUUGAAGUGAAAUCGAGUAGGACGGAGCACGAGAAACUUUGUCUGAACAUGGGGGGACCAUCCUCCAAGGCUAAAUACUACUGACUGACCGAUAGUGAACCAGUACCGUGAGGGAAAGGCGAAAAGAACCCCGGAGAGGGGAGUGAAAUAGAACCUGAAACCGUAUGCGUACAAGCAGUGGGAGCCUACUUGUUAGGUGACUGCGUACCUUUUGUAUAAUGGGUCAGCGACUUAUAUUCAGUGGCAAGCUUAACCGUAUAGGGUAGGCGUAGCGAAAGCGAGUCUUAAUAGGGCGUUUAGUCGCUGGGUAUAGACCCGAAACCGGGCGAUCUAUCCAUGAGCAGGUUGAAGGUUAGGUAACACUGACUGGAGGACCGAACCCACUCCCGUUGAAAAGGUAGGGGAUGACUUGUGGAUCGGAGUGAAAGGCUAAUCAAGCUCGGAGAUAGCUGGUUCUCCUCGAAAGCUAUUUAGGUAGCGCCUCAUGUAUCACUCUGGGGGGUAGAGCACUGUUUCGGCUAGGGGGUCAUCCCGACUUACCAAACCGAUGCAAACUCCGAAUACCCAGAAGUGCCGAGCAUGGGAGACACACGGCGGGUGCUAACGUCCGUCGUGAAAAGGGAAACAACCCAGACCGCCAGCUAAGGUCCCAAAGUUGUGGUUAAGUGGUAAACGAUGUGGGAAGGCUUAGACAGCUAGGAGGUUGGCUUAGAAGCAGCCAUCCCUUUAAAGAAAGCGUAAUAGCUCACUAGUCGAGUCGGCCUGCGCGGAAGAUGUAACGGGGCUCAAACCACACACCGAAGCUGCGGGUGUCACGUAAGUGACGCGGUAGAGGAGCGUUCUGUAAGCCUGUGAAGGUGAGUUGAGAAGCUUGCUGGAGGUAUCAGAAGUGCGAAUGCUGACAUGAGUAACGACAAUGGGUGUGAAAAACACCCACGCCGAAAGACCAAGGGUUCCUGCGCAACGUUAAUCGACGCAGGGUUAGUCGGUUCCUAAGGCGAGGCUGAAAAGCGUAGUCGAUGGGAAACAGGUUAAUAUUCCUGUACUUCUGGUUACUGCGAUGGAGGGACGGAGAAGGCUAGGCCAGCUUGGCGUUGGUUGUCCAAGUUUAAGGUGGUAGGCUGAAAUCUUAGGUAAAUCCGGGGUUUCAAGGCCGAGAGCUGAUGACGAGUCGUCUUUUAGAUGACGAAGUGGUUGAUGCCAUGCUUCCAAGAAAAGCUUCUAAGCUUCAGGUAACCAGGAACCGUACCCCAAACCGACACAGGUGGUCGGGUAGAGAAUACCAAGGCGCUUGAGAGAACUCGGGUGAAGGAACUAGGCAAAAUGGCACCGUAACUUCGGGAGAAGGUGCGCCGGCUAGGGUGAAGGAUUUACUCCGUAAGCUCUGGCUGGUCGAAGAUACCAGGCCGCUGCGACUGUUUAUUAAAAACACAGCACUCUGCAAACACGAAAGUGGACGUAUAGGGUGUGACGCCUGCCCGGUGCCGGAAGGUUAAUUGAUGGGGUUAGCGCAAGCGAAGCUCUUGAUCGAAGCCCCGGUAAACGGCGGCCGUAACUAUAACGGUCCUAAGGUAGCGAAAUUCCUUGUCGGGUAAGUUCCGACCUGCACGAAUGGCGUAACGAUGGCGGCGCUGUCUCCACCCGAGACUCAGUGAAAUUGAAAUCGCUGUGAAGAUGCAGUGUAUCCGCGGCUAGACGGAAAGACCCCGUGAACCUUUACUGUAGCUUUGCACUGGACUUUGAGCCUGCUUGUGUAGGAUAGGUGGGAGGCUUUGAAGCGUGGACGCCAGUUCGCGUGGAGCCAUCCUUGAAAUACCACCCUGGCAUGCUUGAGGUUCUAACUCUGGUCCGUGAUCCGGAUCGAGGACAGUGUAUGGUGGGCAGUUUGACUGGGGCGGUCUCCUCCUAAAGAGUAACGGAGGAGUACGAAGGUGCGCUCAGACCGGUCGGAAAUCGGUCGCAGAGUAUAAAGGCAAAAGCGCGCUUGACUGCGAGACAGACACGUCGAGCAGGUACGAAAGUAGGUCUUAGUGAUCCGGUGGUUCUGUAUGGAAGGGCCAUCGCUCAACGGAUAAAAGGUACUCCGGGGAUAACAGGCUGAUACCGCCCAAGAGUUCAUAUCGACGGCGGUGUUUGGCACCUCGAUGUCGGCUCAUCACAUCCUGGGGCUGAAGCCGGUCCCAAGGGUAUGGCUGUUCGCCAUUUAAAGUGGUACGCGAGCUGGGUUUAGAACGUCGUGAGACAGUUCGGUCCCUAUCUGCCGUGGACGUUUGAGAUUUGAGAGGGGCUGCUCCUAGUACGAGAGGACCGGAGUGGACGAACCUCUGGUGUUCCGGUUGUCACGCCAGUGGCAUUGCCGGGUAGCUAUGUUCGGAAAAGAUAACCGCUGAAAGCAUCUAAGCGGGAAACUUGCCUCAAGAUGAGAUCUCACUGGGAACUUGAUUCCCCUGAAGGGCCGUCGAAGACUACGACGUUGAUAGGCUGGGUGUGUAAGCGUUGUGAGGCGUUGAGCUAACCAGUACUAAUUGCCCGUGAGGCUUGACCAU
rnacentral:rRNA from 1 species